AGUGAACGCUGGCGGUAGGCCUAACACAUGCAAGUCGAACGGCAGCACAGCAAGAGCUUGCUCUUACGGGUGGCGAGUGGCGGACGGGUGAGGAAUACAUCGGAAUCUACUUUUUCGUGGGGGAUAACGUAGGGAAACUUACGCUAAUACCGCAUACGACCUACGGGUGAAAGCAGGGGAUCUUCGGACCUUGCGCGAUUGAAUGGGCCGAUGUCGGAUUAGCUAGUUGGCGGGGUAAAGGCCCACCAAGGCGACGAUCCGUAGCUGGUCUGGGAGGAUGAUCAGCCACACUGGAACUGAGACACGGUCCAGACUCCUACGGGAGGCAGCAGUGGGGAAUAUUGGACAAUGGGCGCAAGCCUGAUCCAGCCAUACCGCGUGGGUGAAGAAGGCCUUCGGGUUGUAAAGCCCUUUUGUUGGGAAAGAAAAGCAGCAGGUUAAUACCCCGCUGUUCUGACGGUACCCAAAGAAUAAGCACCGGCUAACUUCGUG
rnacentral:rRNA from 1 species